rfam:Gossypium hirsutum cultivar TM-1 unplaced genomic scaffold scaffold516.1, whole genome shotgun sequence
UGUUAAAACUUUCAUUCACUUCUAUUGUUAAAAACUAGUGUGGUUGAUAGAAUAACUAGACAGUUACACAUGGCAUGCCAUGUGUGCAUCAUGUUGACGUAUGUGUGCAUCAUGCUGAAGUACAAGGACCUGUUUUUAACAAUAGAAAUGGAUGAAAUUUUUAACA